rnacentral:lncRNA from 1 species
CUCCUAGUAAGAUUAUUGAGAAGCCACCAAGUGGAGAGAGUUAUGGACCUGAAAACAGAAAGACAUGAAUUCAAAUCUUACUUCAGAUACUUUACUAGCCAUGUGACCCUGGGAAAGUCACUUAAAGCCUGUUUCAGUUUCCUUAUUGGUGAAUCUUCCUGGGUUGCUGUAAGGAUAAAAUGAAAUAUUUUUAAAGCACUUUGCAAACAGUAAAUUCAGGUCAGUCAUUUUCAGUCCUGUCCAUUUCCUCUUUCCAUUUGGGGUUUUCUUGGCAAAGAGAGUUUGCCAUUUCUUUCUCCAAAUCAUUUUUGAAACUGAGGAAACUGAGGCAAAUGGGGUUAAGUGACUUGUCCAGGGUCACACAGCUAGUAAAUGUCUGAGGACAGAUUUGAACUCAGGAAGAUUAGUUUUCCUGAGUUAGGCCCAGCAUGUAUCUGCCAUACCAUCUAGCUUUGUAUGUUUCACCUUCAUUUUGUAAUUGAGGAAAAUGAGACUCACAAAGAUUAAGGAUCAUAAGAUCUUAUGUACAGAGCUACUACAAAGGUCAUCAGUUCUAUCUCAUGACAACAUACCCUCUCUGAUUCUCCUUCCUUCCUUCCUUCCUUCCUUCCUUCCUUCCUUCCUUCCUUCCUUCCUUCCUUCCUUCCUUUCCUCCCUCCCUCCUCUUUCUCUCUCUCUUUCUUUCUCUCUUUCUCUCUCGUUCUCUCUUUCUUUCUCUCUUUCUCUCUCUUUCUUUCUCUCUCUUCCUUCCUUCCUUCCUUCCUCUCUUUCUUUCUUUCUUUCUUUCUUUCUUUCUUUCUUUCUUUCUUUCUUUCUUUCUUUCUUUCUUUCUUUCUUUCUUUCUUUCUUUCUUUCUUUCUUUCUUUCUUUCUUUCUUUCUUUCUUUCUUUCUUUCUUUCUUUCUCUUUCCUUCCUUCCUUCCUUCCUUCCUUCCUUCCUUCCUUCCUUCCUUCCUUCUUUCCUUCCUUCGUUCCUUCUUUCCUUCCUUCCUUUCUUCUGUGAACCCUCACUCCCAUUACAAAGGAAAGAUCUCUAUUCAUUUAAUCUAAUAUAAAAAAGAGCCAGCUUACUGAUAUGUAAAAUGAUAAUAAAAAAUCCUAUGGCACAUAUGUUAUGAAGAUC